GGGUUCGAGGAGAAAGACUCGUAUUAAGAACUCUCUCUACUACAUGUAUAGACAAAUGCUAGAGACUCCGGCGACUUCUCGGCUCUUAUAUGGCCACAAAGUCGACCGAUUCUUACAGCAAUAUUAAAAUUGCCGAUCGGGUUGGUGUUGAGAUUAUAAAGACGCCGUUAUAUAUGGCACCGAUAUAUGUUAAUGGAAACGAAUAUGAAUCAGCAACUGACGUGUGGGCGUUAGGAUGUGAUGUCGUUGAGAUGUUUAGUGGCAAAACGACAUGGAUUGUGAAAGCAAGAUCACACUUCAUGUUGCUUUGA